AACGCGAAGAACCUUACCCAGGCUCGAAAUGUAAUUGACAAUACCAGAAAUGGUACGUUUCGCAAGAACAAUUAUAUAGGUGCUGCAUGGCUGUCGUCAGCUCGUGCCGUGAGGUGUUUGGUUAAGUCCAGCAACGAGCGCAACCCUUAUCAUUAGUUGCCAACAUGAAAGAUGGGGACUCUAGUGAGACUGCCUAGGUUAACUAGGAGGAAGGUGAGGAUGACGUCAAGUCCGCAUGGCCUUUAUGUCUGGGGCUACACACGUGCUACAAUGGUCGGUACAGAAGGCAGCAAGACCGCAAGGUGGAGCAAAUCCGAAAAGCCGAUCUCAGUUCAGAUUGUAGUCUGCAACUCGACUACAUGAAGUUGGAAUUGCUAGUAAUGACGUGUCAGCAACAACGUCGUGAAUACGUUCCCGGGCCUUGUA
rnacentral:rRNA from 1 species